GCCACUUCGACAGAGGGGCGGGGAUACAGGAGACUCGGGGAAACGAUAGGUCAGUCCAGAGAAAGGGGUGUAACUAAAGGAAAAGAGGGGCGGGGCUACACGGAGGGGUGAGGCUGCGGGAGACCCAAGGAAAGGACAGGCAUUCCAGAGGGAGGGUGGGGCUUCGGAAAGAGGGGGGCGGUUAUGGGAAUAGGGGCGGGGCUAAUGAGAGAGGGACGAGGCUAAAAAGACCCAGGGAUUGAGUCGGGAAGGAGGAGCAGUGCUACAGAAGGGGAGGGAUGAUGUAUUCUCCAGGCUACAGGAGGGAGGGGAAAGACUACCAGAAGGAGGAAAGGCCGUAGGAGGGAAGGGAGGAGCUACGGGAGAAUCACCUGGGCUACUGGAGAGGUAAAGAGGGGCUUGAGAGGAAAAGGCAGAGUUACCGGACAUAAGAACGAGACUUUAGAUUGCAAGGAAGGGAGGAGGAGAGGAGAGAACCAGGAGAGGAGGGGAAGAGGGACGGAGCUCCGGGCCACCCACAGCUGAGAGACGUAUAUCCACUUAGAAGAGGGGCUUACGGAUGAGGGGAGGGGCUCAGAGACUCCUGACCAAAAAAGGGGCUGGGCUACAAGGACGGGGGCGGAGCCACAGAAGAGGCGGGGAAAAGAGUGAGGUGGGGCGGAGCUUGGGGGAGCCGGGCUUUAGAGAAGGAGAGAACCAGAGGGAGGUGGGACUCUGGGAUGGAGAGGAGGAGUGGUGAAAAAAAAAAAAAAGCGAGCCUAUGGCUGCUAGGUGGAGGGGAGAAGAGGCAAAAUAGAGGAAGGGAAACUUGCCUUGGGAGGGAGUAGAGCCACUCAAACGUUUGAGUAUUUGCCAGCCUUAUAUCUCAUGAUCUAAGGGCUUGAUGAACAUCUGUCUUUUUAGAGGCGGGAGCAGGAGUCGGCAGGCAAAAGUUUAACAAUUCUUCACAAGGAAAAGGAUACAGAACUCACUUUGAAGUUUGGUCUACUUUAUUUCUCCGUCCCUCUCUUUAGAAUACUUCCCAGACAAUCUCUCUUGCAUGACUUCUCAAUGUACACCAUGGGACGAUGAGGCUCAUAUGAGAGAAUGUAUGAAAGACACUCAGCAAGCCCUGGAGAGCCAUAAUAAUGCUAGCUAUUAUCAUUAUUAGCCUCCAGUCUGGUGAUGACGUCACCCCUGAGCCCUCUUCUGCACUCCUACUGGGCUCAUGCAGAGUUGAUAAGGCAAUAAAGAGAUGUGCUGGUGAAUGUUUACCAACUAUGUACACACACACUAUGUAUAAUCCAAUACUUUCUUAAAUCCAAACAGUCAAUAAAACAAUAAACC